UGAACUCAGGACCUCUAGGAAGAGCAGUCAGUGCUCUUAACCGCUGAGCCAUCUCUCCAGCCCUUCAGAGACUAUUUUAAAUUGUAGAACUAAGGUCCAAAUCCAGUUCACUGUGAAUUCUGGGUCCUUGAUCUUUUGAGGACUGAAGACAGCUCAGGCCUUUAGUACUUUGCCGCCCUCCUUGAGAGGCCAUCUGGUUGACAAGGAAUACAUGAGUUAAUUCAUAUACGUGCCUGAUUGAACAAUGUGAAAAUGGCCCCUAAGACAUGUUUGCUAGAAGCAGGUGGAGGGUCUCUGGCCACUUCAUCCUAGGGAUCAAUCUAAAGGAUUCUUUUCAUUUCUCAAACAUGGCUUGGAAGACAUCAGGGUCUUCCAACUUCUCUACUCAGUAACUCCCAAGUUGGAGAUGUUGACAGUUCUGAGAGUCCAGUCCUCCAUCUCUCUCUUCCCUAAUCCCACCUCUCCUUUGCUCAGAGCCUUUAUUUCUGUCCAGAUGCUGAUCUCCCUGGUGAGUAUCUCCAGGCGGUUAAUGAGUGACCUCCAGCUUGCAGAUCCACAUAGCUCACCACCCAGGUCUCUCGGGUCCUUUUGAGUCCUGGGGCUUAGACAUGGAACUGCUCACUUUCUUCUCUCUGCAGCUCAGUCCUGCUCCUGUGGUGCCUCCCGUAGCUCGUUGGACAGUCAGCUGUUUAAACACACACAGGGAGACCCCUUGAAGAUAUUGAAGAAAGGAAUCAAGAAGACCAACAAGACAGGUAACAUGUAUUGCUGAUCCCUCGACAUGGGAACAGGUCUGAGACUGUCUGAGACAUAAAAAUGUCUCCAACCAUGACUUCAGCUAAGCGUAGCCAAUAAAUUUUAUUGGCCACAGAAUCCUCAGGACAUAUGCUAUUCUUUCAAAUGGCAUGGAUACAAAUCUAUAUUAUAGUUUGGUGAUCUGGUCCAAACUAACUUUAAAAAAGAAAACCAAAAAACAGAGAGCAGAGAAUCUUCUUUAGCUGAAUGAUGUAUACCGCACAUUCAAUACAUGUUAAUGCAGAAAUGUAUAUUAUCUAUGAAUGUUUUUAUGUUCACAGAAAAAAACAACCAGAUACCAAUGAGGUUAAAGCAGCCCUGACAAGAUUCACCUUGAGGAUGCUGAGACACUGAGACACACUAAUUCCAGCAUCCUGCUUGAUCCUACCUCAGACUGCCUCAGUGAUGUGGCCUCAAAAUCUAUACCUGGGAUCAUUUCAAAAUGGCUAGCUAAAUUGUCCACCAUCACAGAUGGUUCCAGCCAGGAUUUCACUUGAGCCUUGAGACUGGACAACCAAUGCCACAGCUAGGAUUCUUAAAACUGGCCAAUAUCCUAAAUUUUGGGCCUCCAAAAGAAAAUAAUGCCCCCAGACAGCAGGGAGCAAUUUUAAAAGAAUGAUGUCACAUGCCCAAGAGGUCGGGUGGAUGGGUUUUGGUUGUUGGCUGGAUGACAGAUGUAUCAAUAUUAAAAGGGGGUUGGUUAUAAGUUGAUAAUGGUCUUGGUCAGGAAGGAAACAAAGUAAGGUCUGUUAGAUUCAAUUUACUCUUUUUCUCUUUCUUUUCCUUAUUUUUUUAUUCUUCUUCUCUCCUAUGUACUGUUAAGAGGAAAGGGGAGGAAGGGUUAAGAAGAAAACAGGGGGGAUCUAGGAAUAAUAGUAUUAAAAGGUAGAUUAUUAAAUUUACUAGAUCAAGGAACAUCAACAAACUAAAUAUUUUUACAUUGGUAUGGACUUUGUAUAUUGAUACAAGUUUAAGGUUACAUUUUGUUACAACAUACUAUGUAUAUAAUGUUACAACUCUUAAGGUAUUGUUCCUUUGUGAUCCUUAAAAAUUCAGUGUAAGUUGUAGUCCUUUGGAAAGCUGCUAUUAUAAACCAUUCAGGAUAAUUAAGAAAUGCAAGUGGAUAGUCAACCAAGCUUACGGUCAUGUUAGAUACUAGUUUAGUUAAUUACAGAAACAAGCUUAAUUUAAAUUUAGCUUCCUAUAGAUGUUUUCUAAGUAGAUAAUAUGACACUUUAAGGUGUUUCAUUAAUAAAGGAUCUUUUUUGACAGUGAGAUGUGUCUACUCCUGGCAGUACCCCCCCACACUAAUUCAAAGAAUAUUCAAAGAAAAACAUUGAAGAACCUCCUUAUGGAGUUUGCUUCAAAAGUGGCAAGCUAGUCACUGGGCAAAAGACUGCUCUGGCCUCAACUCCUGACAGAUUGCUGUCCAAACUAGACAAACAAGACGCAGGGAAGUCAAUUGCUGAACUUUGCAGGGACAGGGUAGGCAAGUCCUUCAUAAUUCCUGCUUCACAGGAAAGUCUGUCAAAUGUUUUGGGCCAGAAGGCUAAGGAUGAUGUUCUAACAACUCAGAGGAAUCAUAGGUGACUGACCAGGCAGCCUGCUGCUUCUGUCAUUUCUAUAGUUUUGGAAGCUGCUUAUUCUGCACUUUCUAUUUACUGAAGUAAUGUUCACCCUUCUCAGGGUGAGGUUGAAAACUAGAUAGUUAUAGUCUCACAAUUAGGUUUACAUUGUUUGGGAUUUAAUACUUUAAAGUCUAAAAAGAUAUUCUUAGCUUUAUAAAUGCAAGUUAUGUAA
rnacentral:sRNA from 1 species